rfam:Brachypodium distachyon strain Bd21 chromosome 4, whole genome shotgun sequence.
UAUGUACUCCCUCCGAUCCAUAUUAAUUGUCAAAAUAUUACAUGUAUCUAGAUGCUUUUUAGGCAUAGAUACAUCGAUAUUUGGGCAAGUUUGAGACAAUUAAUAUGGAUCGGAGGGAAUAAUUC